rnacentral:rRNA from 2 species
UACGUAGGGUGCGAGCGUUAAUCGGAAUUACUGGGCGUAAAGUGUGCGCAGGCGGCCGAGCAAGUCGAGUGUGAAAGCCCCGAGCUUAACUUGGGAAUUGCGCUUGUGACUGGCGUGCUGGAGUGUGGCAGAGGGAGGUGGAAUUCCACGUGUAGCAGUGAAAUGCGUAGAGAUGUGGAGGAACACCGAUGGCGAAGGCAGCCUCCUGGGCCAGCACUGACGCUCAUGCACGAAAGCGUGGGGAGCAAACAGG